AUGUUCAAGCUGGUUUUCGAAAAGGCAGAAGAACCAGAGAUCAAAUUGCCAACAUACAUUGGAUCAUCAAAAAAGCAAGAGAGUUCCAGAAAAACAUCUAUGUCUGCUUUAUUUGACUAUGCCAAAGCCUUUGACUCUGUGGAUCACAAUAAACGGUGGAAAAUUCUGAAAGAGAUGGGAAUACCAGACCACCUGACCUGCUUCUUGAGAAAUCUGUAUGCCAGUCAGGAAGUUAGAACUGGACAUGGAACAACAGAUUGGUUCCAAAUAGGAAAAGGAGUACAUCAAGGCUAUAUAUUGUCACUCUGCUUAUUUAACUUAUAUGCAGAGUACAUCAUGAGAAAUGCUGGGCUGGGGGAAGUGGAAGCUGGAAUCAAGAUUGCUGGAAGAUAUAUCAAUAACCUCAGAUAUGCAGAUGACACCACCAUUAUGGCAGAAAGUGAAGAAGAAAUAAAGAGCCCCUUGAUGAAGGCAAAAGAGGAGAGUGAAAAAGUUGGCUUAAAGCUCAACAUUCAGAAAAUGAAGAUCAUGGCAUCUGGUCCCAUCACUUCAUGGCAAAUAGAUGGGGAAACAGUAGAAAUAGUGGCAGACUUUAUUUUGGGGGGCUCCAAAAUCACUGCAGACGGUGAUUGCAGCCAUGAAAUUAAAAGAUGCUUACUCCUUGGAAGGAAAGUUAUGACCAACAUAGAUAGCAUAUUAAAAAGCAGAGACAUUACUUUGCCAAGAAAGGUCCAUCUAAUCAAGGCUAUGGUUUUUCCAGUGGUCAUGUAUGGAUGUGAGAGUUGGACUAUAAAGAAAGCUGAGCACCAAAGAAUUAAUGUUUUUGAACUGUGGUGUUGGAGAAGACUCUUGAGAGUCUCUUGGACUACAAGGAGAUCCAACCAGUCCAUCCUAAAGGAGACCAGUCCUGGGUGUUUAUUGGAAGGACUGAUGUUGAAGCUGAAACUCCAAUACUUUGGCCACCUCAUGCAAACAGCUAACUUAUUUGAAAAGACUCUGAUGCUGGAAAAGAUUUGA
rnacentral:lncRNA from 1 species